rnacentral:lncRNA from 1 species
UUGCAGAUUCCGACUCCUGACCUGGGGUAGCAGCAAGCAGGGCUGCACUGUCUAUAGGUGAGGCCCGUGUGGCAAAGAAGCUGGAAUUAGGAACUGGCCCUGGAUCAGACUGAAGACACUACAAGGAUGUGGCAAUGAAUAUUUCUCCAAAACCUUGUUUUUUGCAAAUAAAGCUUUGUUUCUCUUGAGUCUGUUCACAUUUCUUUUGGUCACAUGGGGGUGGGACAGAUGGAUGGAGGAUUCCUUUAACUGUCCCCUGCUGUUAGCCAUUCUUGGGGGCCUCGAGAUGCCCCCAAGCUCAUUAUAUAAGUGCCCACUUGCCCUGGGAAUGCCUAGGCUGCAGUUUGAGGGGGUUCGCUCUGCUCAGAAAUCUGGAAGCCAGGCUAGUGCUUGCUAGCUUACUUAGCUGGGAGCUGGCAGGCUUGGGGCCAGGGGAGGAGCCUUGGGGCGUGGUGACUGGAGGUCCACUGAGGUCUUGUGGAAGGACGCUUGGCUGGGCACUGACUGCUUAAGCUCUGGAGAUGAAGGCACCUCUUCCCCCUGCUGGCCCCAGCAUUCCACUAGCAAUGGCCUCACGGGUUUCUAGGAUCAGUUGAGCCGUCUCCUCCCAUGCUCCCAAGCCCUGGCCCUCCCCAGGCAGCCUGUGCACUUGGCCAUGGCCAGAGAUUGCCUGUGGCUGCUCUUGGUGCUGGUGCUGCCCGCUGGGAGCCAAGGGAUGCCAUGUUGGCAGGCCAGCAGUCCCUUCUUGCCCCCAGAGGAGGGAAAGGCGCAGCCCCCCCUGCCCGAGGUCAGCCCCUGCAUGGUGCAUUGUGCUAAGCAAGUCCUGCCCAGAUUGGGAGCGGGAGUCGUCUCAGUCCUCUUUAACCAGGCGCGGGAAGAGGAGGAGCACAAAUACUGCUGGCCACAGAGACGGCGGGACUGCCGGCCAGGAGAGCGCCUGGCCAGGGUCUUCCUGCUGCUGCAUGUGAAUGAGCCCGCUGCGGCUCCUUACGAGCUCCUGCCCGCCACGCCGGCCCUGACUCCAGCGAGCAGACGGCUGCGGCCCAGGAAGAGCGACCCGGCCCUGCUCAGCCUGGCGGGCUGUGGGCUCCUCUAUGACGUCACCAGGCCCUUCCGCAGUGCCAAGAGAGAGGGCCAGUUCAAGGGGGCCGAGUUCUGCGUUAAAGCCGUGUGCCCCGCCAGCCAGCCUUCCUGCCAGCCCCUUCAGGCGGCCCUGAGCUGCCCCCCUUUCCUAGCCACGCUGUGGGGCAGCCGCCCGGGCACCAGGGAGCCCUUCUCCAUUCGACAAGACCCAUCGUUCCCUGGACAGGUCUGAGCAGGCUGCUGGAUGUGGCCCCCCAAGAGACUCUGCCAGCUCGAGGCAUCUGGGAGCUGGUGAGGCGUGACGUUGACCCCAAUAAAUUGGUCGUGUGUUUUCUCUGCCUUGGCU